CCCGGGUUAUUCACCAGAUCCAGCCUUAAACCCCAUAAAAAGAAGCAUAAAAGAGAAAAUUGAGUGGGACAAACACACUGAUAACGCAAAGUGGCCAAACAGAUCCGAAGGAAUCCUCUCGAUUCCAACUCAUGUUUUAUUAAAAAAGGAACGGCUUUCAUAAAGCCGGGGAAAAAUUGUAAAUCGAGGUGACAGCGGUGAAAAAACUGAAAGGCAGGUUAUUGGGUCAUGAAACUAGUUUCAUUGUGGUGACGCACAGGAUAAAAAACAGGGAAAAGUUGAAUUAGGAAAACUGCCCAUUCAUAUUUAUCCGUUGUGUCCUCUCUGGGGAGAGAGAUCAAUCCAACUUUCUGCAAUUUCCUGCACCCCAGUCGCAAUUAAACAAGCAGAUACAAGUGUAUGUACAGACCCACUUCAAUUCGUGACUGGCAGCGACUAAUCAACACAAACUUCUGCAUCCAUUGUCUGGAUUUACUGGAGGAUUUUCGAUUCAGCUUGAGAUCAAUCACCGGAAGCUUUUGGAGCUUCAUCCGUCAAGAUUGCCUCAUUGUACAGAUGGCGUUUCGGAACAAUUAACCACACGUGCAAUUAAAUAAAAAUAUAGAGCAAGGUCUUAGUAUUGAUUGCGUUAAAAAGUGAAAAUGGCGUUUGCACCUCAUCUAGUUUGAACGAGAAAUAAUAAAAGUGCUAAGUCGUUAUAACUCAAUUGGGUUGCAAAACUGUAGUAAUGGACAUCUUAAAUUGACUCUACAAACAAGUUUAUAUGCAAAUUGCUGGGAACGACUUUGAAGUUUAAUAGCCCGAAUAAAUGUUUCUCUGACUUGGCAUUCGUUAGUUUUUGAUAAGGCCGAAAGGAAGUCUUGGAUGAUAAAAGAAACUUUACAAAAAAGUUAAACAUUUGUUUUGACCCUUUCGCCGAAGGAAGGAAACUUAGUCCAAGGUGAGGGACCAUGAAUAAAUAAACAAAUAUUUUCCAGGCCUAAAUAGGCUUUCCAGACUCCCUUGUUUAAGUGAAAAAGUUUAGCAAACUGCGUUAAGAAACCGUUCUAGUUAAAUUUACAAACGUUGGAAUAAUUUAUACAGAAAGAUAGUGUUACUUUUUAUGUUGCUUUUACUUUUUUUCAAAAUCUUAAUUACGAAGCGGCAAAUCACAGUAACAGUUUUAGGGGCUUCAACAUUUCACAGGUCAAAUCAAUAAACAAAUCGUCGAACUAAACAGGUGUUUCCUAGACAUUUAAUACAUAUUCAUUAGAUCAAAAUAUAACAUAAACAGUAACAUGAGUUUGUUGUUGUUUACAGGUUUGGCAAAAUAUGAUAUAUUUUUUUAUAUGUUGGUAAAAAAAAAUGGUUGUAACUUACAUUCAUAGAUUACAUUUUUUGAAUUGCUUUUAAAACCACUCAUUUACAAGCAAAUAAAUUUUAAUCAAUUUAAAUGGCCUACCUAGCCAAAAAUUUUGGCCAAAAGUAUGGAAUCAGGUGUUUUGUACCUAAAUUAUGUGUCUUACAAAAAAAAACAAUUAGUACAUCAUGUGAUGAUUUUUCAAAAAUAAAUUUUCUCGAAAGUCCUUUUAGUUUUCGAGUUAUGAAUAUAAAAAAUUUUUAAAUGGCACCCCACCAAAGCGAUUUUUUUCCUAGUCUAAGUUAAAAAUGUUUAAAAAAAUACUGGUUUAAAAACAAAAUUAUUAAAUUAGAAGUAAUUUUUAAAACAUAAUCUUUUACCAAAAAAAAAUCUUUUACCAUUAGAAAUUUUUUUAAUAACUCGAAAACUAAAAGACAUUUCUAAAAAAAUUAUUCUUGAAAAAUGAUCACAUUUUUAAAGUAGUUGAUGAUGUACCAAUUAGUUUUUUCGUGAGGAACAUAGUUAAGCACAAAACGCUUGGUUCCAUACUUUUGCUUAACGCUGAGUAUCAUUAAGUUUAUAGUCAACGCAUUUUUCAUCAUUUAAGGUUCAAGUUUUUUUAAGUAUUUAUUCAGAUUAAGUUGUUUAGAAGAAAAGAUUACCUUGGUAUAUUACUACAAUUAUUUUAAGGAGAGAAACGUAUUCGUAUACUUCUUAAAAAUACCUAAUGUUCCGCCUUCACAUUUGAAAUCACAAAUUCUGUUGAAAAUACAAACCUGUAAAUGUCACGUUAAGUUAUAAUUUCAAGCCAAGUACUACAAUUUAAAUGACAAAAUGUCCAACAUGAAUUAAUUAAAGCUUUCAGACUAGACUGCUAAAACAACUCGAAACUCAAACAAAAUUAUAUCAUUCUUUAAACCUUGUUAGACUGUGUUUAUGGAAUAGUUACAAAGUCAGCUAUAACUUUUAGUUUGUGGAGAUGCAGACGUAGAACAGUUUUGCACCACAAAUGGUAAUCAACAAAGUGACCCAUUUUUCCUUUCUACUAACAGAAAGGAUUUUGUAAAAAUAAUCGUCUAAAAAUAAUUGAGUAUUUGUCUUCUGAAUUAAUUACUUUAGCACAAAACAGAGUUUAGAUUAAGAUGCACAAGUGCAUACAGAGUGGAUUAGUGCAAAAAUGAAGUACCUAAUAAAACUGGGAGCCUCAUUACAAUUUCAAACAAAGUCUGUAGUUUCCUAUUUAGCUAUUAUGUUUCAUUUCCUAGCUCACCUUUAACAAAGUGAAUAAAUGAAACCUCCCAUCACAAAACUAAAUUACUAGCUGCUCUUAAUCACGUUGCAACUCAAUUACGCCUCUCUGAAAAAAGACAAAUUUUGUUACCGUGUAUUAUGUUUACCCAUCUGCUCGUCUUGAUUAAAAGCGUAACUGGAACGAGCAUUUACAGAUUUAUUUUCAGUUCGUUACUGAAAUGGGACGAAAAAAAUAUUUCAAAAAAAUAUCCGAAACCUCAUACAAUAUGCAGGCGAAGCUGCAAUAUACGUCAAAUGUGCCUAUAGAUAAAACAAAUCCAUGUGGAGAAUUCUCAGUAUUCUGCUCGUUCCGCUGAAAUCACACUAAACCAAACAUAUGAAUAUUUUAUAGAGCACGUCUUUAAAAGCAUUUCAAAUAUAAUAUGCAUCCCCGGCGGCAAUAGUCAAUAUAUGAUAUUCUCUUCA